rnacentral:lncRNA from 1 species
UGUUGCCCAGAUAGACAACCCAAGAGGGGGGGGUGAAUUGGGUUUUAAAAUAAUUUAGAUAAUUUAAAACGCUAUGGAUGAUUAAUUAAAAACUAUUGCAAGUUAUUUAAUUAAUUACUAUGUGCUGUGAGUAAUAUGAAAUGAGAAGAAGGAGAGACAAUCAAUCACAAACACAAGUUUUAUAGUGGUUCGGAGCUAACCCUUGCUCCUACGUCC